rnacentral:rRNA from 1 species
CGCGUGUGUGUAGAAGGCCUUCGGGUUGUAAAGCACUUUUGUCCGGAAAGAAAUGGCUCUGGUUAAUACCUGGGGUCGAUGACGGUACCGGAAGAAUAAGGACCGGCUAACUACGUGCCAGCAGCCGCGGUAAUACGUAGGGUCCAAGCGUUAAUCGGAAUUACUGGGCGUAAAGCGUGCGCAGGCGGUUGUGCAAGACCGAUGUGAAAUCCCCGAGCUUAACUUGGGAAUUGCAUUGGUGACUGCACGGCUAGAGUGUGUCAGAGGGGGGUAGAAUUCCACGUGUAGCAGUGAAAUGCGUAGAGAUGUGGAGGAAUACCGAUGGCGAAGGCAGCCCCCUGGGAUAACACUGACGCUCAUGCACGAAAGCGUGGGGAGCAAACAGGAUUAGAUACCCUGGUAGUCCACGCCCUAAACGAUGUCAACUAGUUGUUGGGGAUUCAUUUCCUUAGUAACGUAGCUAACGCGUGAAGUUGACCGCCUGGGGAGUACGGUCGCAAGAUUAAAACUCAAA